UGGCUCAGUCGGUUAAGCAUCUGACUUCAGCUCAGGUCAUGAUCUCACGGUUCGUGGGUUCAAGCCCCAC
rnacentral:tRNA from 1 species